CACGUAGGGCGCAAGCGUUGUCCGGAAUUAUUGGGCGUAAAGAGCUCGUAGGCGGUCUGUCGCGUCUGCUGUGAAAACUCGGGGCUUAACCCCGGGCCUGCAGUGGGUACGGGCAGACUAGAGUGCGGUAGGGGAGACUGGAAUUCCUGGUGUAGCGGUGAAAUGCGCAGAUAUCUGGAGGAACACCGGUGGCGAAGGCGGCAUUCUGGACCGACAUUGACGCUGAGGAGCGAAAGCCAGGGGAGCAAACGGG
rnacentral:rRNA from 1 species